UACGAAGGGGGCUAGCGUUGCUCGGAAUCACUGGGCGUAAAGCGCACGUAGGCGGCUUUUUAAGUCAGGGGUGAAAUCCUGGAGCUCAACUCCAGAACUGCCUUUGAUACUGAGAAGCUGGAGUCCGGGAGAGGUGAGUGGAACUGCGAGUGUAGAGGUGAAAUUCGUAGAUAUUCGCAAGAACACCAGUGGCGAAGGCGGCUCACUGGCCCGGUACUGACGCUGAGCUGCGAAAGCGUGGGGAGCGAACGGG
rnacentral:rRNA from 1 species